CCCGCGUCAGGGGGUGCAUUUUACAGCAGGAGUGAAUUUCCCGGCACAACACACCCGGCCGGAUGCAGAGGCACAGGGAGAGUCAUUGUGGUUGUUUCAGCCUCCAUCAUCGAUGUUCUCUGAGUGACGUCAACCACAGCGGAGUUCAUUCGAUCCACUGGGCUCAGAGGCUUUCUAUCGUAUCUGGAGAUACUAAGCUGUGAAAUGUCCACUUUUGAUGGUGCAUGGAGGCCCGGAAGCUGAGUUUUGCUGAAGAGAAAGUGAACUGACCCAUUAAGCUGUGGGAAAUAGUGGAAAAUGGUCAAAUGUAUACAAAAUAUGCUCAAAAACAAAUACUACUAUACUACUACAUUAUUCAUUAAUUCUCAUUCAGAAGAGCAUAGACAUUCACCAACGCCAAACUAUCCUUCAUUUUUGUUUCAAGACUCAACUGUACAUCUUUAUUUAUUAAUGCAUGAACAAUUUGAAGGACAAUGUUGAACUCUCCCCCAUCUUGAAAUAAAAAAAAAACA